UGGGGAAUUUUGGACAAUGGGGGCAACCCUGAUCCAGCCAUGCCGCGUGAGUGAAGAAGGCCUUCGGGUUGUAAAGCUCUUUCAGCCGGGAAGAAAUCGGCGCCUCUAACAUAGGCGUCGGAUGACGGUACCGGACCAAGAAGCACCGGCUAACUACGUG
rnacentral:rRNA from 1 species